rfam:Camelus ferus unplaced genomic scaffold scaffold400, whole genome shotgun sequence.
GUGGGUAUAGCUCAGUGGUAGUGCACAUGCCUUGCAAGCCCAGGGUCCUGGGUUCAAUUCCCAGUACCUCCA